ensembl:snRNA U2 U2 spliceosomal RNA
AUCGCUUCUCGGCCUUUUGGCUAAGAUCAAGUGUAGAAUAAAAAAGUGAGAGAAACCUGAUUUCAAUAUUUAUUUUAUAACUAUA